rnacentral:rRNA from 1 species
GCGUGUCUUAAGCAUGCAAGUCGUGCGGCAAGGGCAGCAAUGCCCCUAGAGCGGCGGACUGGUGAGUAACGCGUGGGUGAUCUGCCCUUGGGAUGGGGAUAGCCACUAGAAAUAGUGGGUAAUACCGAAUACGUUCCCCCGGCUGUGGUUGGGGGAGGAAAAGCGCUUCGGCGCUGCCCGAGGAUGAGCCCGCGUCCCAUUAGCUAGUUGGCGGGGUAAAGGCCCACCAAGGCGAUGAUGGGUAGGCGGCCUGAGAGGGUGUACGCCCACACUGGGACUGAGAUACGGCCCAGACUCCUACGGGAGGCAGCAGCUAAGAAUAUUCCGCAAUGGACGAAAGUCUGACGGAGCGACGCCGCGUGGAUGAAGAAGGCCGAAAGGUUGUAAAGUCCUUUUGUCGAUGAAGAAUAAGUGUGGUAGGGAAUGACCGCAUGAUGACAUUAGUCGGUGAAUAAGCCCCGGCUAAUUACGUGCCAGCAGCCGCGGUAAUAC